AGAGUUUGAUCAUGGCUCAGAGCGAACGCUGGCGGCAGGCCUAACACAUGCAAGUCGAACGGGCCCUUUCGGGGGUCAGUGGCAGACGGGUGAGUAACGCGUGGGAACGUGCCCAUCGGUUCGGGAUAACCCAGGGAAACUUGGGCUAAUACCGGAUACGCCCUUUUGGGGAAAGAUUUAUUGCCGAUGGAUCGGCCCGCGUCUGAUUAGCUAGUUGGUGAGGUAACGGCUCACCAAGGCGACGAUCAGUAGCUGGUCUGAGAGGAUGAUCAGCCACACUGGGACUGAGACACGGCCCAGACUCCUACGGGAGGCAGCAGUGGGGAAUAUUGGACAAUGGGCGCAAGCCUGAUCCAGCCAUGCCGCGUGAGUGAUGAAGGCCUUAGGGUUGUAAAGCUCUUUCACCCACGACGAUAAUGACGGUAGUGGGAGAAGAAGCCCCGGCUAACUUCGUGCCAGCAGCCGCGGUAAUACGAAGGGGGCUAGCGUUGCUCGGAAUCACUGGGCGUAAAGGGCGCGUAGGCGGCCGAUCAAGUCAGGGGUGAAAGCCUGUGGCUCAACCACAGAAUUGCCUUUGAUACUGUUUGGCUCGAGACCGGAAGAGGUUGGUGGAACUGCGAGUGUAGAGGUGAAAUUCGUAGAUAUUCACAAGAACGCCAGUGGCGAAGGCGGCCAACUGGUCCGGUUCUGACGCUGAGGCGCGAAAGCGUGGGGAGCAAACAGGAUUAGAUACCCUAGUAGUCC
rnacentral:rRNA from 1 species